CUUACCAUCAUUAUGACCAGGAAUACGACUUUCCCAGAUCCUGUGUUUUGCCCACUACCCAGGACAAUGGAUCGGAUCCCAGCCGGCGAACCAUAACAACGACGCUGUAAAAAGUCUUCUGGACAGGCUCCGGAGACAGGCACAUUGCGCACUGCUCCCGAGCAUAAUACUCGCCAAUGUCCAGUCUAUUGACAACAAGGUAAUCCUGAGAUCUACAUUGGUAUUGGUGCAUGUGUCCUGCUGUUGGUUGCUGUUGUGGUCUGGCUCAUCAAGAAGCGUUCCAAAGAUUUGCAGAGAACAGGGAAUGCCAGCCAUCUUGAAGAGUAUUGAGAGAAGGCGGUGGCAAUCAGCUAGGCAGAGAUUGGGGAAUGCCAGCCAUCUUGAAGGCAGAGAUUGGGGAAUGCCAGCCAUCUUGAAGGCAGAGAUUGGGGAAUGCCAGCCAUCUUGAAGGCAGAGAACAGGGAAUGCCAGCCAUCUUGAAGGCAGAGAUUGGGGAAUGCCAGCCAUCUUGAAGGCAGAGAUUGGGGAAUGCCAGCCAUCUUGAAAGCAGAGAUUGGGGAAUGCCAGCCAUCUUGAAGGCAGAGAUUGGGGAAUGCCAGCCAUCUUGAAGGCAGAGAACAGGGAAUGCCAGCCAUCUUGAAGGCAGAGAACAGGGAAUGCCAGCCAUCUUGAAGGCAGAGAACAGGGAAUGCCAGCCAUCUUGAAGGCAGAGAACAGGGAAUGCCAGCCGUCUUGAAGGCAGAGAUUGGGGAAUGCCAGCCAUCUUGAAGGCAGAGAUUGGGGAAUGCCAGCCAUCUUGAAGGCAGAGAUUGGGGAAUGCCAGCCAUCUUGAAGGCAGAGAUUGGGGAAUGCCAGCCAUCUUGAAGGCAGAGAUUGGGGAAUGCCAGCCAUCUUGAAGGCAGAGAUUGGGGAAUGCCAGCCAUCUUGAAGGCAGAGAUUUGGGGAAUGCCAGCCAUCUUGAAGGCAGAGAUUUGGGGAAUGCCAGCCAUCUUGAAGGCGGAGAUUGGGGAAUGCCAGCCAUCUUGAAGGCAGAGAUUGGGGAAUGCCAGCCAUCUUGAAGGCAGAGAUUGGGGAAUGCCAGCCAUCUUGAAGGCAGAGUUUGGGGAAUGCCAGCCAUCUUGAAGGCAGAGAUUGGGGAAUGCCAGCCAUCUUGAAGGCAGAGUUUGGGGAAUGCCAGCCAUCUUGAAGGCAGAGAUUGGGGAAUGCCAGCCAUCUUGAAGGCAGAGAUUGGGGAAUGCCAGCCAUCUUGAAGGCAGAGAUUGGGGAAUGCCAGCCAUCUUGAAGGCAGAGAUUGGGGAAUGCCAGCCAUCUUGAAGGCAGAGAUUGGGGAAUGCCAGCCAUCUUGAAGGCAGAGAUUGGGGAAUGCCAGCCAUCUUGAAGGCAGAGAUUGGGGAAUGCCAGCCAUCUUGAAGGCAGAGAUUGGGGAAUGCCAGCCAUCUUGAAGGCAGAGAACAGGGAAUGCCAGCCAUCUUGAAGGCAGAGAACAGGGAAUGCCAGCCAUCUUGAAGGCAGAGAACAGGGAAUGCCAGCCAUCUUGAAGGCAGAGAUUGGGGAAUGCCAGCCAUCUUGAAGGCAGAGAUUGGGGAAUGCCAGCCAUCUUGAAGGCAGAGAUUGGGGAAUGCCAGCCAUCUUGAAGGCAGAGAUUGGGGAAUGCCAGCCAUCUUGAAGGCAGAGAUUGGGGAAUGCCAGCCAUCUUGAAGGCAGAGAUUUGGGGAAUGCCAGCCAUCUUGAAGGCAGAGAUUUGGGGAAUGCCAGCCAUCUUGAAGGCAGAGAUUUGGGGAAUGCCAGCCAUCUUGAAGGCGGAGAUUGGGGAAUGCCAGCCAUCUUGAAGGCAGAGAUUGGGGAAUGCCAGCCAUCUUGAAGGCAGAGAUUGGGGAAUGCCAGCCAUCUUGAAGGCAGAGAUUGGGGAAUGCCAGCCAUCUUGAAGGCAGAGAUUGGGGAAUGCCAGCCAUCUUGAAGGCAGAGAUUGGGGAAUGCCAGCCAUCUGGAAGGCAGAGAUUGGGGAAUGCCAGCCAUCUUGAAGGCAGAGAUUGGGGAAUGCCAGCCAUCUUGAAGGCAGAGAUUGGGGAAUGCCAGCCAUCUUGAAGGCAGAGAACAGGGAAUGCCAGCCAUCUUGAAGGCAGAGAACAGGGAAUGCCAGCCAUCUUGAAGGCAGAGAACAGGGAAUGCCAACCAUCUUGAAGGCAGAGAUUGGGGAAUGCCAGCCAUCUUGAAGGCAGAGAUUGGGGAAUGCCAGCCAUCUUGAAGGCAGAGAUUGGGGAAUGCCAGCCAUCUUGAAGGCAGAGAUUGGGGAAUGCCAGCCAUCUUGAAGGCAGAGAUUGGGGAAUGCCAGCCAUCUUGAAGGCAGAGAUUGGGGAAUGCCAGCCAUCUUGAAGGCAGAGAUUGGGGAAUGCCAGCCAUCUUGAAGGCAGAGAUUUGGGGAAUGCCAGCCAUCUUGAAGGCAGAGAUUUGGGGAAUGCCAGCCAUCUUGAAGGCGGAGAUUGGGGAAUGCCAGCCAUCUUGAAGGCGGAGAUUGGGGAAUGCCAGCCAUCUUGAAGGCAGAGAUUGGGGAAUGCCAGCCAUCUUGAAGGCAGAGUUUGGGGAAUGCCAGCCAUCUUGAAGGCAGAGUUUGGGGAAUGCCAGCCAUCUUGAAGGCAGAGAUUGGGGAAUGCCAGCCAUCUUGAAGGCAGAGAUUGGGGAAUGCCAGCCAUCUUGAAGGCAGAGAUUGGGGAAUGCCAGCCAUCUUGAAGGCAGAGAUUGGGGAAUGCCAGCCAUCUGGAAGGCAGAGAUUGGGGAAUGCCAGCCAUCUUGAAGGCAGAGAUUGGGGAAUGCCAGCCAUCUUGAAGGCAGAGAUUGGGGAAUGCCAGCCAUCUUGAAGGCAGAGAUUUGGGGAAUGCCAGCCAUCUUGAAGGCAGAGAUUUGGGAAUGCCAGCCAUCUUGAAGGCAGAGAUUUGGGGAAUGCCAGCCAUCUUGAAGGCAGAGAUUGGGGAAUGCCAGCCAUCUUGAAGGCAGAGAUUGGGGAAUGCCAGCCAUCUUGAAGGCAGAGAUUGGGGAAUGCCAGCCAUCUUGAAGGCAGAGAUUGGGGAAUGCCAGCCAUCUUGAAGGCAGAGAUUGGGGAAUGCCAGCCAUCUUGAAGGCAGAGAUUGGGGAAUGCCAGCCAUCUUGAAGGCAGAGAUUGGGGAAUGCCAGCCAUCUUGAAGGCAGAGAUUGGGGAAUGCCAGCCAUCUUGAAGGCAGAGAUUUGGGGAAGAGGAGAAAAAACAAUUACUAGAGGAAGAACUUACUUGGAAUACAACUGUAAAGGACAGGGUCAAUCAGAACAACCAGAACAAUGAGGCUGUGAAAACUGGAGAGGGAGAGAAGAAACCAUUACUAGACAAGGCAGGAUCCACUGAUACAGAUCUUAUUGUGAGUAAUAGCCCGUUCAAACUGAACAACCAGAAUCAGGUUAACGGUUGGGAGUCCGAAAAGAGACAGAGGGGGAAAAAAGUGUAGAAUCCAAACAGACCAUGAAUGUUACCAUGGGGAGUAUUACCGAAGAAUCCGGCCAAAUUGCUCCUCCGAAGCCACCUCGGAGCAGCCUUAACUAUAAUUCACCGUACCCACAGAUUCUGGAGACACAGCACAGCAGUGGGAGAGGACGUGUCCAAAGCAUGGGUGGUUAUGGCACAGAGGGAGCGGGUGAUGGAGAGGGAGAUGGACAGUUUAUGCCCCAGAAAGUCCUAAUCUUAGACACAGGGCAGGAGAGCAGAGGAAAGGAUGCGGGGAAAAGAGAGGAGGGAGAACACGUUGAGAAAGAGAAGGUAAUAGAAGAUGAUUUAGUGACAGAGGAGGGAGAGGGGCAAGAAGAGACAGGUAGGAGAGGUGAUGGAGGAGAAAGAAAUGGACAGGAGAGACUGAAAAGAAUGAAGAAGAGCAGGGAAGAAGGGAGAGGAAGAAGAGGGAGAAGAAAGGAGACACAGAAGGGAGAGGAAGGAAAGAGCCAAACUUCUCCCAAACAAACACUCCAUUGCAAUGACCCCCUACCACCUCUCGCCCCAAAACCAUCCAAUAUGGCAUGGCAACCAGAUUGAUGUAGAACGAUAUUUAGUUGAAUUGUUAUUUGUUUUUGUUGAUAUUUAAUUUGUUUUAGGCAUAGGGGCAUACGGAUCCAAGAUGGCGUAGCAGUAAGUCGUCCUGUCCUGUCGUGUCCCUGUAUAUAUCGUUUCUUUUUCGUUUUUUACAUAUUUUUCUCC